rnacentral:rRNA from 1 species
GUGGGGAAUAUUGCACAAUGGGCGCAAGCCUGAUGCAGCGACGCCGCGUGAGGGAUGACGGCCUUCGGGUUGUAAACCUCUUUCAGCAGGGACGAAGCUUUCGGGUGACGGUACCUGCAGAAGAAGCACCGGCCAACUACGUGCCAGCAGCCGCGGUAAUACGUAGGGUGCGAGCGUUGUCCGGAAUUACUGGGCGUAAAGAGCUCGUAGGCGGUUUGUCGCGUCGUCUGUGAAAUUCUGCAGCUUAACUGCAGGCGUGCAGGCGAUACGGGCAGAAUUGAGUACUACAGGGGAGACUGGAAUUCCUGGUGUAGCGGUGAAAUGCGCAGAUAUCAGGAGGAACACCGGUGGCGAAGGCGGGUCUCUGGGUAGUAACUGACGCUGAGGAGCGAAAGCGUGGGUAGCGAACAGGAUUAGAAACCCUAGUAGUCC